rnacentral:rRNA from 1 species
UACAGAGGGUGCAAACGUUGUUCGGAAUUACUGGGCGUAAAGCGAGUGUAGGCGGUCGUGUAAGUCGUGCGUGAAAGCCCUCGGCUCAACCGGGGAAGUGCACUCGAAACUGCAUGACUAGAGUCUCGGAGAGGAUAGUGGAAUUCUCGGUGUAGAGGUGAAAUUCGUAGAUAUCGGGAGGAACACCGGUGGCGAAGGCGGCGACCUGGGUUGAUACUGACGCUGAGGCGCGAAAGCGUGGGGAGCAAACAGG